rnacentral:lncRNA from 1 species
UGGGUUUUGAGUGAAUUCCAGUCUCUAGAACUAUGCAAUACACCUACCACUCCAUUUCGUAAAGAAAUUCGUACGAACCUGAAUUGUCCAAUUUCAUGGACCAAUCGAUAUCGGAUUGAGUCAAAACUUGGGGAACAUCGUAAUAUGAUGGGCGGAGUCAUUUCGUGAGUUUUUAAUGAAAUUCAAUGCCUAAAACUAUGCAAUACAUCAACCACUC